CUGUACGUUAGUCUGCGCUAAUGCAGGCGAACGGUUUGCUAAUCAGUCAGGAACUGGAAGGUUCCCUGUCUGUCAGAAAACUUAACACAUCUGUUUGGGAAACAUAAAUAAUAUAAACCUAAAAGUUCCACCUAGAAAUGGUCUGAAGUGGUGCUGUCUGUUCUGCACAGUAUAGCUCUGUUGUGGCCUUACGAAUGGGACGUGAUCAGCAGACUCUUCAUCGUUGACAAGCCCAUAGCGAUCCACUGUGUGAGUCAGAACGCCGCAGACGGCUCUACGGCGCAGUACACCACCGAGCCUGAGCUGUGCUGGGAGUGCAGAGAGAGCUUCCUGUUUCAGCAGCAGAGGGACCUUAGAGAGUACACCCAGGCAACCGUCUACAUCCGCAAAGUCAUCGAAGACAAAAUGGCGGGAAAAGACAGCGCCCCGGAGCUGAAUGCCUGCAGCUCUGAAGCAGAAGAGGAGAGGGAGGAGCUUCCAAAGAUGGAUGGAGAGAAAGAUCCAGACUUCAGUCAGGUAACAUUGCUGCU